AUUGAACGCUGGCGGCAGGCCUAACACAUGCAAGUCGAGCGAGCGGCGGACGGGUGAGUAAUGUAUGGGGACUGCCCGAUAGAGGGGGAUCACUACUGGCAACGGUAGCUAAUACCGCAUACUAUCGGAUAACCCAUUAGUGCUUAGCUAGUAGGUGAGGUAAUGGCGCACCUAGGCGACGCUCCCUAGCUGGUCUGAGCGGAUGAUAAGGUCACCGGGGACGGAGCCACGGCCCAGACUACUACGGAGGCAGAAGUGGGGAAUAUUGCACAAUGGGCGCAAGCCUGAUGCAGCCCUGCCGCGUGUAUGAAGAAGGCACUAGGGUUGUAAAGUACUUUCAGUUGGGAGGCGUUACCGACUGAAUAAGCACCGGCUAACUCCGUGCCAGAAGCCGCGGUAAUAC
rnacentral:rRNA from 1 species